UUCACUGGGUCACAUGUAAGUUCUGCACUGAUAGAUCAAAGUCUUCACAGAGAAAUGUGUGUACUCAUUAAUGCCCCAAAUGAUUCAACUGCUGAUAAUCAGGGAGAUGGUUUUAAAGUUCAUCCUCAGGAGCGAGUGGAAUAAUCAGGACACAUGUAAUGAAUGCCAGGUGUGCCAGCAUACUGCUUACUUCCACUAAUUCUGCAGAGGAUGUCACGCUUGGAAGAAUGGAUAAACAUGACAUUUGGUGCUGAAAAUAUCUCACAAACAACUACAGUUCCCACAAAAACUUUUCAACAGCUUUUCAAGUUUCACAGAUGAAGGACUACUGCAGAGGAUGUUACUGAAAUGCUUCACACGAUGUUCUUCUACAAAGACAAACUCCUGGUGGUUGCAGCAUGGAGACUGGUUUUCUUAAGAGCCACGUCUGUCCUCUGUAAUUACCCUGCAGCGGCAUGCGAAGCCAUUGUUGUGUUCAGCAGACGCUGGCAGGUGUGCUCUUCUCACGAGAGGACUUGGACCAACGUGGACGCUCGAGCUGCUCCACCUGGCCUUCAUCACCAGCCUUAAGAAACAACAGCUGCUCUCCUCUUUGCUGUGGAGGAAGGAGAUCUGUAC